AUGCCCUCCGACAGGGCACCAGGUCCUGACGGCUUCUCCGGACUAUUUUAUAAAAUGUGUUGGGAUAUCAUUGCUCCGGAUCUAAUGGCUGUGAUGAAGACUUUGCAUAAGGGCCGCUUUUACUCUUUUGGAGGCCUCAGUGCUUCAAUCCUCACACUCCUGCCCAAGAAAUCAAACUCAUUGGAGAUCGGAGACUUCAGGCCUAUCAACCUCAUCCAUGGUGUGGCCAAGAUUUUCGCUAAAGUGCUCGCCUGCCAUCUGGCUCUGCUCCUGCCCACCCUCAUCUCGCAGGCUCAAAGUGCUUUCAUCUCCCGGCGCAAUAAUCAUGAAAAAUUCAAGUUUGUGAGGAACCUUGCUCGUCUGCAGCACCGCAAAUGAAAGCCCUCGGUUCUUAUGAAGAUCGACAUCUCCAAAGCCUUUGACACCCUUUCUUGGGAGUUCCUCCUGGAAAUCCUUUUUGCCAGAGGAUUCGGUAGGAAGUGG
rnacentral:rRNA from 1 species